rnacentral:misc_RNA from 1 species
CUGUUCGAGCGUCAUUUAAACCAAUCCAGCUUGCUGGGUUUUGAGCUUUCGCCUCUGGGCGGGCCUUAAAAUCAGUGGCGGUGCUGCCAGGCUCUAAGCGUAGUAAUUCUUCUCGCUACAGGUCCUGGUGGAGGCUUGCCAACAACCCCAAAUUUUUAAAGGUUGACCUCGGAUCAGGUAGGGAUACCCGCUGAACUUAA